rnacentral:rRNA from 1 species
CCUACGGGUGGCAGCAGUGGGGAAUAUUGGACAAUGGGCGAAAGCCUGAUCCAGCCAUGCCGCGUGUGUGAAGAAGGCCUUCGGGUUGUAAAGCACUUUCAGUGGGGAAGAAAGCCUUGGGGCUAAUACCCUCGAGGAAGGACAUCACCCACAGAAGAAGCACCGGCCAACUCCGUGCCAGCAGCCGCGGGAAUACGGAGGGUGCGAGCGUUAAUCGGAAUUACUGGGCGUAAAGCUCGCGUAGGCGGUCUGAUAAGCCGGUUGUGAAAGCCCCGGGCUCAACCUGGGAACGGCAUCCGGAACUGUCAGGCUAGAGUGCAGGAGAGGAAGGUAGAAUUCCCGGUGUAGCGGUGAAAUGCGUAGAGAUCGGGAGGAAUACCAGUGGCGAAGGCGGCCUUCUGGACUGACACUGACGCUGAGGUGCGAAAGCGUGGGUAGCAAACAGGAUUAGAUACCCCAGUAGUC